rnacentral:rRNA from 1 species
UACAGAGGUCUCAAGCGUUGUUCGGAUUCAUUGGGCGUAAAGGGUGCGUAGGCGGCGCGGUAAGUCGGGUGUGAAAUCUUGGAGCUUAACUCCGAAACUGCAUUCGAUACUGCCGUGCUUGAGGACUGGAGAGGAGACUGGAAUUUACGGUGUAGCGGUGAAAUGCGUAGAUAUCGGAAGGAAGACCAGUGGCGAAGGCGGGUCUCUGGACAGUUCCUGACGCUGAGGCGCGAAGGCCAGGGGAGCAAACGGG